CCCGCCCCGGCCCGGCCCGGCCGCCCUCUGCGUGCGCCGCGGGCUGGAGCCUUCGCGUUCCCCCCUGAAGCCGGAGGCAGCCGGACGACCGCCUGGGCGUCUCAAAAGCGGAGCUAUGGGCUUGGUCUCGUCGCGCGCUGGACGAACUGCUUUGCCGAGUGGGGGCCCUCGAAGGUCCUGAACACUUCCGGAACUGGCUGGCUCCAGCUGCCUCCAGCAUCCUUGUGGGAUGUGGUUCCUCCCCCAUCCAAGCCAGAUUGCUCCUUGGUACACGCUGCAGCAGAGGCAUAGCUUGAUGGAGGGUGGUUUGGGCACCCAGCACCGCAGUUUAUUCGCUGACUGUGACUUCUUCAAAAGAGACAAGGGGAUACUCAUUCAGAAACGCUCAGGAACGAAACGUCAGCAGCCUGCGGGAGUUCACGUGUCACCAUGGUGAGCAGGAGUGCGGCUAACAAGGUGGAGGCCUGCUGGUUAGACCAGCUGGAGAACUCAGUCUUCCUGAUCAUUGUCUGCGUGGAGGAAAUGGAUGACGUGGAGAAAAAUCUGAAGCCGUGCUGCCUGCAGAUCUAAGCUCCCAAGGUGUCCCUGGACUCCAUGAUGGAGUGUGCAACGGGAGAUGGUGGCAGGCAGCUAUUAUACACCGAAGCCCAGCUCACAGACGCUCUGCAGCCUCCCCACGAAUAUGUGCCCUAGGUUUCUGACAAAGGGAAAUCCAUGAAGGAGAAGGACCAGCUAGCUCUUCAUCUGCCAGUUGUAUGUGGAUGAGAUGUCGGAUGUCUGCCAACUCAUAGCCAGCUCUCCCAAGGAUGCCUGCUUCAAGUGAUGGCUGGUGCCCUGGGAGGGAGCUGAUGCAAGAACAAGAUCUCACGUGCCCCUAGUUUUCUGAUCCUUGACUCAGCAGCCAUUGCUUAUCCAGAGAAUGCUGACAAAAGUCCAUCUAGUCAAAGCUAUGGUUUUUCCAGUGGUCAUGUACGGAUGACUAUAAAGAAAGCGGAGCACCGAAGAAUGGAUGCUUUUGAGCUGUGGUGUUGGAGAAGACUCUUGAGAGUCCCUUGGACAGCAAGGGGAUCCAGUCAGUCCAUCCUGGAGGAAAUCAGUCCUGAAUAUGCAUU
ensembl:lncRNA